rnacentral:rRNA from 1 species
GAAUAUUGGACAAUUGGCGGAAGCCUGAUCCAGCCAUGCUGCGCGUGUGAAUAAGGCCGUUUGGUCGUAAAGCCAUUUAAGCGGGGAGGAUGAGCUCUUGUUUCAUACCCAUGAUGUUUUGAUGUUAAUCGCAGGAUAAGCACCGGCUAACGACGUGCCAGCAGCCGCGGUAAUACAGAGGGUGCAAGCGUUAAUCGGAUUUACUGGGCGUAAAGCGCGCGUAGGUGGCCAAUUAAGUCAAAUGUGAAAUCCCCGAGCUUAACUUGGGAAGUGCAUUCGAUACUGGUUGGCUAGAGUAUGGGAGAGGAUGGUAGAAUUCCAGGUGUAGCGGUGAAAUGCGUAGAGAUCUGGAGGAAUACCGAUGGCGAAGGCAGCCAUCUGGCCUAAUACUGACACUGAGGUGCGAAAGCAUGGGGAGCAAACA